GCUAUGGAGACGGGAGAGUUUACACCGAUUGUGCCCAAUCAGGCCCAGCGCCAAUGGGAGCCCUGGAACACAGACAGAGCCGGUAGUUGUGAGAAUAACCGCACAGGGCUGGCUGCCCCACCGCCCCACAGUCAGUACAAAGGGCGGGGCAGUGUAUGAGGCGUUCCGACUCGCUCUCCCUCUCUGCCUGAGUUUAUGCGGUUGCCAUGGAGAAGGAAGGGGGCGGGCCUUUAGCAACAAGCAGCUGCUCAGGAGCAACUUUUCAUGUGAGAGAGCCGUUUGUGCUGCCGUGCCGCACUAAAUGAAAGACAGAAUGAGCAGCAGGCCGAGCACUGUGCGGGUGUUUGUCCGGGUUAAACCAACACCGAAUUUUGCUCACGAGAUCAUCAGAUUCGGGGAAGACAAUAAGAGAAGUACACAAGGAAGAGGCAACAUUUGGCCCUGAACCUUUGUGGGAGCAUUGCAUCAUCUGGAGCAGCCAAUAGCACCCAUGGAAGAGCUUCAUUCAGAGGAAGGCACUUUAUGCAUAUCCAUUCAUACGGCCUCCACCACCUCCAGCAAUGGAAGAUCCAGAGCCACUUCUUCCACCACCACCACGGCUUCCACCACCACGACUUCCGCCACCGCCACGACCACCACCUCGACCUCCACCACCGCGGCCUCCAUUUCUUGAUCUUCUUACACGAAUAGGCUAUGUAGGCAGAAGAAUGCAUUUGAUAGAAACUCUGGUAUGUUUAUAUGAAAACACAGUGGGCAUUAAUUUACUAACCUAGGCGCUAAAUUGCCCAGAGCUAUUGUCAGGAGAAACCAAAUCAAAAUUUUGUUUUGAUCAGCCGACUACAAUGGAAGCAAAGAUUUUGAUUGCUAUGGUUGCUUGGGGCAAUGGUGCAGGUUUAGUAUCACUAUGUACCAUCAAUGUCAAAGGUCCAACCUUUGGUCAGGACUAUCCCUUAGCCCAUUAGUACAGAUAUAUAAAAAUAUCUCCUAGAAUAUCUAGGGCAGCAAAUACAUAUUUACCCCAAUUCUCAGCUUAACUGACCUUUAAGCUGGGCUUUAACGUGUAUCUAGGAGAGCUAAUGGCAACUUCCCUGGUUCUCACCCUAAGUGGCCUACUGGCUGAGCCCUUCCACUGCUCCAAACCCCGGAUGGGGCCAGCCCUAUUUCUUUUAUACACCAACACUAACACAAUCAUGGUUACUAGAGACACACUUACAGCAUUCUGGACGGCAUCACAGGUUAUGACAAUGGCUGGGAGCUCAUCCUCUGGGAAGAAGCUAGAGGUGCACCUUUUCAUUACCUGCAGAAGAAAGAUCAAAGAGAAACACAGACUUUGAACAUGGAUGUUACUCUUCUUGCUCUUUCUUAAUUUGUUACUUGCCCUGUGGAUAUUCCUAAUGGAAAUAUUAAGAACUGAAUGUUUAUUUUCAGUUUCCACCAAGGGCUCAGCCUGCAGUUGUACCCUUCCCCAAGCAGCGAGUCUAGCGGUCCUUUGACAUUUGGAACCAUCCAGGGCCAUGGGAAAUUUUUUGUUGAAUAUUCUAAUGCUUUGACUACUGAGUAGUAACACACUUAAAACAUU